UGAAUACGAGACGCUAAGGCGUCGAAGUAGUGUAUGUCAUACUUCCAAGAAAAGCUUGCACUGUCAUAGAUGAAAAACGCCUGUACCAUAACCGACACAGGUGGGUAGGUAGAGUAUACUAAGGGGCGCGAGAUAACUCUCUCUAAGGAACUCGGCAAAAUAACUCCGUAACUUCGGGAGAAGGAGUGCCUUAUUCGUAAGGUUGCAAUAACAAGAUCCAAGCAACUGUUUAUCAAAAACACAGGUCUCCGCUAAGUCGUAAGACGAUGUAUGGGGGCUGACGCCUGCCCAGUGCCAGAAGGUUAAAGAAGUUGGUUAGCAAUUGCGAAGCUGAUAACUGAAGCCCUGGUGAACGGCGGCCGUAACUAUAACGGUCCUAAGGUAGCGAAAUUCCUUGUCGGGUAAGUUCCGACCCGCACGAAAGGCGUAAUGAUUUGGAUACUGUCUCGGAGAGGGGCUCGGUGAAAUAGACUUGUCUGUGAAGAUGCGGACUACCUGCACCAGGACAGAAAGACCCUAUGAAGCUUUACUGUAACUUGAAAUUGAAAUUGGACUUUAUUCGCGCAGUAUAGGUGGGAGGCGUUGAUUAUAAUCUUGUGGGAUUAUUGGAGCCAUCAGUGAGAUACCACUCUUGUAAUGUUAGAUUUCUAACUUUGAAUCAUUAUCUGGUCAAAGAACAGUUUCAGGCGGGCAGUUUGACUGGGGCGGUCGCCUCCUAAACGGUAACGGAGGCGUACAAAGGUUUCCUCUGAACGGUUAGAAAUCGUAUCUAGAGUGUAAAGGCAUAAGGAAGCUUGACUGUGAGACCUACAAGUCGAGCAGGGACGAAAGUCGGUCUUAGUGAUCUGACGGUACUGAGUGGAAAGGCCGUCACUCAACGGAUAAAAGUUACUCUAAGGAUAACAGGCUGAUCUCCCCCAAGAGUUCACAUCGACGGGGAGGUUUGGCACCUCGAUGUCGGCUCAUCGCAUCCUGGGGCGGUAGUACGUCCCAAGGGUUGGGCUGUUCGCCCAUGAAAGCGGUACGCGAGCUGGGUUCAGAACGUCGUGAGACAGUUCGGUCCAUAUCCGGUGUAGGCGUUAGAACAUUGAGAGGAGCCUUCUUUAGUACGAGAGGACCGAGAAGGACAUACCUCUGGUGUACCAGUUAUCGUGCCAACGGUAAACGCUGGGUAGCUAUGUAUGGAGUGGAUAACCGCUGAAAGCAUCUAAGUGGGAAGCCCACCUCAAGAUAAGUAUUCUCAUC
rnacentral:rRNA from 1 species